GAUGAACGCUGGCGGCGUGCCUAAUACAUGCAAGUCGAGCGAACAGACGAGGAGCUUGCUCCUCUGACGUUAGCGGCGGACGGGUGAGUAACACGUGGAUAACCUACCUAUAAGACUGGGAUAACUUCGGGAAACCGGAGCUAAUACCGGAUAAUAUAUUGAACCGCAUGGUUCAAUAGUGAAAGACGGUUUUGCUGUCGCUUAUAGAUGGAUCCGCGCCGCAUUAGCUAGUUGGUAAGGUAACGGCUUACCAAGGCAACGAUGCGUAGCCGACCUGAGAGGGUGAUCGGCCACACUGGAACUGAGACACGGUCCAGACUCCUACGGGAGGCAGCAGUAGGGAAUCUUCCGCAAUGGGCGAAAGCCUGACGGAGCAACGCCGCGUGAGUGAUGAAGGUCUUCGGAUCGUAAAACUCUGUUAUUAGGGAAGAACAAAUGUGUAAGUAACUAUGCACGUCUUGACGGUACCUAAUCAGAAAGCCCCGGCUAACUACGUG
rnacentral:rRNA from 1 species